UCCGCCCGGGUACUACGAGCUUUAGCUUAAAACCCAAAGGACUUGGCGGUGCCCUAUUCCACCUAGAGGAGCCUGUUCUUUAAUCGAUAACCCACGAUAUACCUAACCAUUUCUUGCCUAAACCGCCUAUAUACCGCCGUCGUCAAUUUACCCUUUGAAGGACUCAUAGAAAGUUAAAAGGUCCCCGCCAAAACGUCAGGUCAAGGUGUAGCGAAUGAAAUGGGAAGAAACGGGCUACAUUUUCUAACAUAGACUAUACGGAUAAUCAAUAUGAAAUCUGAUCUUGAAGGAGGAUUUAGUAGUAAAAAGAAAUCAGCAAGUUCGUUUUAACCUGGCCCUAGGGCGCGCACACACCGCCCGUCACCCUCUCAACUCUUUAACUAUUACUAAUAAACUAUUUUUAACAGAAGAGGUAAGUCGUAACAUGGUAAGUAUACCGGAAGGUGUACUUGGA
rnacentral:rRNA from 1 species